UUUCUAGAUAUCCUACAGGAAGAUGUGGCCACCUCUCUGGUUCUGCAGCUUCAUCAGUUUCUCUGCAUGCUCUCUCUCUCAUGAGACUGGUGAAGAAAGUACUUGGCAAAGUUCUUCAAAGCCACAUCAUCUCGGUCAAAGUAGUAAGACAUGGGCAGGUUGACAUAGGAAGAAAGGCAAUAUGCAGAGAAA